GAAUGGAACAAUGUGUUAAGUGUCCAUGUUCGGCCUUUUCUUUUUCUUUUUUCUUUUGCGCUCUUUCUCUUCGUCUGGAGGAAAAAAAAAGCGAAAAAGAAGAAUGGUCU
rnacentral:ribozyme from 13 species